UGGCGAACGGGUGAGUAACACGUGGGUAAUCUGCCCUGCACUCUGGGAUAAGCCUGGGAAACUGGGUCUAAUACUGGAUAUGACCUUUCUCCUUAUGGGGUUUGGUGGAAAGUUUUUCGGUGUAGGAUGAGCCCGCGGCCUAUCAGCUUGUUGGUGGGGUGAUGGCCUACCAAGGCGACGACGGGUAGCGGCCUGAGAGGGUGAUCGGCCACAUUGGGACUGAGAUACGGCCCAG
rnacentral:rRNA from 1 species